AGAGUUUGAUCAUGGCUCAGAUUGAACGCUGGCGGCAUGCCUUACACAUGCAAGUCGAACGGCAGCGCGGGGCAACCUGGCGGCGAGUGGCGAACGGGUGAGUAAUAUAUCGGAACGUGCCCUGGAGUGGGGGAUAACGCAGCGAAAGUUGCGCUAAUACCGCAUACGAUCUAAGGAUGAAAGCAGGGGACCGCAAGGCCUUGUGCUCCUGGAGCGGCCGAUAUCUGAUUAGCUAGUUGGUGGGGUAAAGGCCUACCAAGGCAUCGAUCAGUAGCUGGUCUGAGAGGACGACCAGCCACACUGGAACUGAGACACGGUCCAGACUCCUACGGGAGGCAGCAGUGGGGAAUUUUGGACAAUGGGCGCAAGCCUGAUCCAGCAAUGCCGCGUGAGUGAAGAAGGCCUUCGGGUUGUAAAGCUCUUUUGUCAGGGAAGAAACGGUGCGGGCUAAUAUCCUGCACUAAUGACGGUACCUGAAGAAUAAGCACCGGCUAACUACGUGCCAGCAGCCGCGGUAAUACGUAGGGUGCAAGCGUUAAUCGGAAUUACUGGGCGUAAAGCGUGCGCAGGCGGUUUUGUAAGUCUGUCGUGAAAUCCCCGGGCUCAACCUGGGAAUUGCGAUGGAGACUGCAAGGCUAGAAUCUGGCAGAGGGGGGUAGAAUUCCACGUAGCAGUGAAAUGCGUAGAGAUGUGGAGGAACACCGAUGGCGAAGGCAGCCCCCUGGGUCAAGAUUGACGCUCAUGCACGAAAGCGUGGGGAGCAAACAGGAUUAGAUACCCUAGUAGUCC
rnacentral:rRNA from 1 species